AACUUUCAACAACGGAUCUCUUGGUUCUGGCAUCGAUGAAGAACGCAGCGAAAUGCGAUAAGUAAUGUGAAUUGCAGAAUUCAGUGAAUCAUCGAAUCUUUGAACGCACAUUGCGCCCUCUGGUAUUCCGGGGGGCAUGCCUGUUCGAGCGUCAUC
rnacentral:rRNA from 1 species